GUCAGGAUGGCCGAGCGGUCUAAGGUGCUGCGUUCAGGUUGCAGUCUCCGUGGGAGGCGUGGGUUCAAGUCCCACUCCUGACA